CACCUGUGGGCAUAAGAAUUUCAGUUUUAAACUAAUUUUCAGAAAGUUAUAAGCACUUUUUUUAAAGUGUUGGCAUAAAAGUGCCUGCAGCUAUGGCAUCUCAAAGUGGUCCGUCUCCAGUGGUCUCAAUGGAGUGCCUAAGCAUUUUCAUUCCAUAUGUCAUUAUUUGUUUUGAUAAUUAUUUCAAAGUUUAUUUUAAACACGGAAAACAUCAAGAAGAGAGAGCUGUGUUUCCAGGAUGUUUCUGGCAGAGUGACAACAUGCUUUCAUAUACUGCAAAACACUCAUGUAGCGAGACAAUCCACAACUACUAAAUAUAGCUAUUUAAACUAUAAAAGAAAAAUAACUCCUAUACAAAUAUAUCCUGUAACCUCAGAGGAAUAGGAUUUAUCCCAAACAGUUCUAGUCUAGACAAAGUGAAACUGAUUGAUUCUAUCCUUGAAGAAUUGUCAAUGACCUAGCUGAGCUAUUCUCUAGUAAAAAUAAGUAGCCUUAGGGCAACAUAAAUGUGUCAUACAUCAUGGAAAGAUGAAGUCUUUAUUUUGUUUGUAUCAUUUAAGCUUUAUUUUAUGAACAAAGACAAGAUAAUUGUAUGUAGCUGUUAAAAAGUUUAUAAUUCUAACUAGUUAAUAAAACUAACUCUUCUCUCAUGCAGUAUUAAAAUAAUAUGUAGCCACCAAAUAUUUUGACAUGAGGACCUGUCACUGACAUCUCCACCAGAUGCUGUUAUCCAUUCAUCACUACUCACCCAUAAUUAUGCCACAAUGCUUCAAUAAUAUCCAGGCUUGUGUUGAACUUGAAACAAGGGGACCCUGUAGGGGCUGGAGGCCUCUGGGAAAUCAGCUUGGAGAACAACCAUCUUAAAGUGCAGGUGCUUUCUGAAAAGUGACUGUAAAAUGAUAUCAUGGGCAUCUGUCUUUGUCUCUUGGUUUCUAGAAUAAAUAUGUUCAGUUUACAAGUAAAAAAAAAAAAUUACUCCCAACUGCCUGCUCUGCAGAGGCAAUCUGGGUUCUUUCCUUCUCAUGCAUUAUCGCUAGUUUAAUUUAAAAAAAAAAAAGAAAGUUCUGGGAGCCAAAUUAGUCUCUCAGUCAUAACUUUUGAAUUCAGAAAUGUCAGUGACAAAUCUGCAAUCCAUUUGCUUUCAAUGACUUUGCACAGAGGCUAGUGAUUAGAAGUUAGUACUCAGCACUUGAUAAUGCAUGAUGCUCUUUUUUUUAGCUGUGUUGACUCUGCAGAGCUAGAGGAGGAAAAAAAAAAGCAGGAAAAUCAUAGAUAAUUAGGGUUGGAAGGGACCUCAAGAGAUCAUCUAAAUCCAACCUCCUGCUCAAAGCAGGAGCAAUCUCCAAAAGGCCCCCUCAAGGAUUGAACUCACAACCCUGGGUUUAAGCAGGCCAAUGCUCAAACCACUGAGCUAUCCUUCCCCCCUCUUUAUUUACCCAAUGAUACCUGCUGAUUUUAGUAAUUAAAUAACUUUUCAGAGUAGAACAUCACCUUAAUAAACACUGGAAAAAAAUAUCAUUAACUGUCUUUUCUAUAGAAAAGACCAUAUUGAUUAGCAUUUAUAUUUAAGACAGAGGACUCCACCCAUAAAGUAAUUUACAUACUACUUUUACUGCCCACAUGAUAUGAAGAAGUCAAAAGGGUAGGUUCACUUUACAAUACAAUUGCCAAAUCAUUUAGAAUGCAUCACUGUUUUGCGUCACAUUUGCUAUUUACAUAAAAGCAUUACCAAACCAGUCAUAUGGUAUGGGCUAAUUUUUAAAGUCAGUUAUUUCCGCACGCUCCUCUUUUCAGUAUAAGGGUCAAUUUGUAUUUCAUCUCUUUCCUCUCCUGUAAUCUUCAGGAGUUCAAAUUACAUCUUUAAAUUAUCUCUGUUUUGACCAAAGUUACUUCCAUUUCAGCUGGCUGUAUCUCAGAUAGACAGGUGGGCUGAAAUAUGUGACUACUGUAAAUAUAUGUGUUGGCAAUAAUUACCUGCUUCAGAUAAGCUUGCUACAGUUGGUGAUUGUUGGCACAAGACAUACUGGCUGACAGAUAUUUUGAAAUAAAUGACAAAAAAAUAUAUACCUGCCCCUGGAAAUUUCCACUACAUGCAUCCGACAAAGUGAGUAUUCACCCACGAAAGCUCAUGCUCCAAUACGUCUGUUAGUCUAUAAGGUGCCACAGGACUCUUUGUUGCUUUGACAAAAUAAUUGAAACUGAUGUGAUUAUAUUGUGUUAUUUUGGCAAAUAAAAUUUGCAGAAUUUGAAAA